GGGGGAGAAUGGGCAUCCCACCCCAGCACUUUCUAGGAAGAAGGGCAACAUUUUGAAGGGCUGGAAGUAGAGAAAGAAGGUUGCGGGUAGAAGACUCCAUACUUUCUGUGACGCCUAUUCCUUAGCUUGUGAUGAAUGUUUUCUCAGUAUCCUAUGCUGAAAACAGGUAGAUACUAAUCCCUCCUUCAAGGGAGGGCUGUUGAGUAUUGAAUAAGAUAAAAACAUGGAAGCAAUCAGCACAAUGCUGGAGAGCUUUUAUAUAACCAAAGAUAUUUUUGGACCAUGAAUUCGGAAAUUCUCGGAGCCACCCAUCAAUGCCUGAGCUUCAGUGAGUCCAUAUCCCAUGUCACCUACGGCAAAGGAGAAUCUGAGACUUCUGAAGAGUUUCUUGCUUCUUUCCUGUGGGGCAGUGACUCCACUUCCCAGCAGUAAUGGAAUAUCCUGAAUUAGCUACAUUAAUGUUAGAACCAUUUGGACCUCACCCAGGACUUCAACUACAUUGUGCUAAAGUUACAGAAUCCAAAUUUGGCAACUGCCUGCAUCUGAACAACAGAAGUUUCAACAUUCUGCCAACAGAGUAACUCCUGGACGACUGGCACAGAAGAAGGCACAAGGCCCUCCAAACACCAGCACUGAGUAGAAAGAGGCUCUGAUUCAUGAAAUGUGAAUUUAUGACAGUUGCCACUCUUUAAAAAAAAACAGACAGAACUUGAGCAAUACAUGACUGAUGCAUUCUCAGCCUGCUUCCUGUGUUCCAUCUGUCUUUCUGGCAGUGCAUUCACCCUCCAGGUUCUAGUAUGUUAGGUUUAUGUUCCCCUGCUUUCUACAAUCCUGUUCAAAGAGUUGCUGACUUAACCAC
rnacentral:antisense_RNA from 1 species